rnacentral:tRNA from 1 species
GAUCUUUUAGUAUAUUUAAGUAUGUCUGACUUCCAAUCGGAGGGUAAAAAAGGUUA